rnacentral:rRNA from 1 species
GAUGAACGCUAGCUACAGGCUUAACACAUGCAAGUCGAGGGGCAGCAUUUCAGUUUGCUUGCAAACUGGAGAUGGCGACCGGCGCACGGGUGAGUAACACGUAUCCAACCUGCCGAUAACUCGGGGAUAGCCUUUCGAAAGAAAGAUUAAUACCCGAUGGCAUAAUUAGACCGCAUGGUCUUAUUAUUAAAGAAUUUCGGUUAUCGAUGGGGAUGCGUUCCAUUAGGCAGUUGGUGAGGUAACGGCUCACCAAACCUUCGAUGGAUAGGGGUUCUGAGAGGAAGGUCCCCCACAUUGGAACUGAGACACGGUCCAAACUCCUACGGGAGGCAGCAGUGAGGAAUAUUGGUCAAUGGGCGCAGGCCUGAACCAGCCAAGUAGCGUGAAGGAUGACUGCCCUAUGGGUUGUAAACUUCUUUUAUAUGGGAAUAAAGUUUUCCACGUGUGGAAUUUUGUAUGUACCAUAUGAAUAAGGAUCGGCUAACUCCGUGCCAGCAGCCGCGGUAAUACGGAGGAUCCGAGCGUUAUCCGGAUUUAUUGGGUUUAAAGGGAGCGUAGGUGGACAGUUAAGUCAGUUGUGAAAGUUUGCGGCUCAACCGUAAAAUUGCAGUUGAUACUGGCUGUCUUGAGUACAGUAGAGGUGGGCGGAAUUCGUGGUGUAGCGGUGAAAUGCUUAGAUAUCACGAAGAACUCCGAUUGCGAAGGCAGCUCACUGGACUGCAACUGACACUGAUGCUCGAAAGUGUGGGUAUCAAACAGGAUUAGAUACCCUGGUAGUCCACACAGUAAACGAUGAAUACUCGCUGUUUGCGAUAUACAGUAAGCGGCCAAGCGAAAGCAUUAAGUAUUCCACCUGGGGAGUACGCCGGCAACGGUGAAACUCAAAGGAAUUGACGGGGGCCCGCACAAGCGGAGGAACAUGUGGUUUAAUUCGAUGAUACGCGAGGAACCUUACCCGGGCUUAAAUUGCAUUUGAAUAUAUUGGAAACAGUAUAGCCGUAAGGCAAAUGUGAAGGUGCUGCAUGGUUGUCGUCAGCUCGUGCCGUGAGGUGUCGGCUUAAGUGCCAUAACGAGCGCAACCCUUAUCUUUAGUUACUAACAGGUCAUGCUGAGGACUCUAGAGAGACUGCCGUCGUAAGAUGUGAGGAAGGUGGGGAUGACGUCAAAUCAGCACGGCCCUUACGUCCGGGGCUACACACGUGUUACAAUGGGGGGUACAGAAGGCAGCUACCUGGUGACAGGAUGCUAAUCCCAAAAGCCUCUCUCAGUUCGGAUCGAAGUCUGCAACCCGACUUCGUGAAGCUGGAUUCGCUAGUAAUCGCGCAUCAGCAAUGGCGCGGUGAAUACGUUCCCGGGCCU